GUUUAACGGCCGCGGUAUUUUGACCGUGCAAAGGUAGCGCAAUCACUUGUCUUUUAAAUAGAGACCUGUAUGAAUGGCAUAACGAGGGCUAAGCUGUCUCCUCACCCCAGUUAAUGAAAUUGAUCUUUCCGUGCAGAAGCGGGAAUUAACACAUAAGACGAGAAGACCCUGUGGAGCUUUAGAUGUAUAAAUGAAUUUAUUAAACUAUUAGCACCAAAUAAAAGGUAGUUAAAACAAUAACCUCAUUUUAAAUCUUUAGUUGGGGCGACCGCGGAGUAAAACGGAACCUCCGUGAGGACUGAGGUGAAAACCUUAUACCUAAGAAUGUCAUUUCUAAGUGCCAAAAUAUUUGACCCAUAGAUCCGGCAAUAGCCGAUUAACGAACCUAGUUACCCCAGGGAUAACAGCGCAAUCCUCUUUGAGAGUCCCUAUCGACAAGAGGGUUUACGACCUCGAUGUUGGAUCAGGACAUCCUAAUGGUGUAG
rnacentral:rRNA from 1 species